rnacentral:lncRNA from 1 species
CACUAGUGGUUUUAAGAAAUAUGCAACAAUAUUUCACCAGUGCCAAUACAUCACAAUCAAUUCACAAAUAAAACAUCAAUAAGGCAUCAAGAAAAGAUACCAAUCAAAUAUUUCAAAAAUGUGAAUUAAUCAUGCAUCUAUUAUUCUAUCAAAGUCAAUCAUGAAACAAAUAAGCAUAUAAUUGUCAUGGAUCACAAUUUAACUAAGAUAAAAUAAUAAUUACCUACGCAAUAUCAUAUAAUUAUCAGAUCAGC